AUCUGAAAUGAAACAGUACUUUUCUUUACCUCUCUUCUAAAAAAAAGUAAUUGGAAUCGUGAAACGUCCGACUGCUUUCCGCUUACCUUGGCAGAUCUUUUACACGGUCCCGACUGGAGAAAUCUAGCAAUAAGGCUUUCACGACAUCGCCUUUUGCUUUGUUAGCGCCCUCCCUCGACAGGCUGCAAACUUGCUGUUAACUCGUCAGCCGCUGGGUGUCGGUGAGGUCAAGGAAUGGACGAUUCACUGGAAGAAACAUCAUCACAUCACAUGGAACUAGAAAACUUUCACAAAUUAGUAUUUGGUACAAUAGAAGAGUCACCGUAGGACUGCAACAGACAAGAAUUUAUGUAAACAUGGGUGAUUGAAUGCAUGGAAGGAAGGUAUGAAGAUGAGUAAGAAGAUGGAUGGAUGUAAGAUCAUGAGGAUAUUUUAAGCCAUUCAUAUAAUGGCAGAACAGAAUUAGGCAAGGAUGGAAAAUGUUUUCCAAGUGGGUCUGUCAUCAGAGUGUAUGCUAAUAUAGCGUCUAAAUUAAAUCCAAGUCAGAAAGAAGGGUCCAAAACGGAGAUGAGCAUGUUAAAUAUGGUAUAAAUUAUUUGUACAAUUUUAUAUGAGUUAUGUUUAAAGGGGCAGUUCACCCCAAAACUGAAAAAAAAUAUCCUUUAAAGGAACUUUCUAUCCAUCAAAGUUAUUCUGCUGGGAGUUGCCUAGUUUUGAAGACAUUGGCCGUAGAAAUGCCACUCUUCUCUCGAAUAUAAUGGGACUGAAUGGCGUUCUUUCUGUGGUGUUUACACCGAACUCCACACACCAAUCGUAUCACUGUGCAGUAUAUUUCACCGGGGAACUCGUGCUCGUAUCUUCUGCGUAGUGAUACAACUGCUGUGUGGAGUUCAGUGGAAGAACGUAGUCCCUACAUUAAACUGCUCACUACAAAGUAUGUGGAUUAUCUUGAGUAACAGGGUCAUGAUUUCAGGUAAGAGAUGUUGCCGUUGAUUUUUUCUAAUGUAUUUUUUGGUGCUUUAAUUACCACAGAAAGCCUUUCAGUCCCAUUAUAUUUCAGAGAAGACAUUUC